CUAUGUUUUGAUAGAGGCCAUGGGAUAGAAAUAAGAGGAGAUGAAGGAGACGCAAAGAGAAGGGGGAGCAGGGGAGAGACUGCAACAAGGUAGCAACAGAAUGAAGGUGUUCAGCAGAGUCUGGCACUGGGAAAGGCUUUGGUGCUGAACAACCCUGUGUGGUCCUUAGGGGUGUGUGCCCACUGCAGAAGCAGCAUUGCGCUUUCGUGAAGGCAAGGUUUGUUUAUGAGUAAUGAGGCAAAUAAGGCACAAACUGCCUCCUGCACUCAACAGAUUUUUGUUAUUUUUAUUGCCCUAUCAUGCUUUCAUUGUGAUAAUAAUAAAAGGAAAGUCCCUUUGUUUAGACGGCAAUUUUAAAACGAUGUUCAGACCUGCCUAUUAACUGUAGUGUAUUUACAGAUCUGACUACCAAGCUGAAACAAGCCAGCCUGAGCAGAAGGGACUUUAUACUUUUUCCUGGAGGCAAGCAGGCUUGGAAUCCAAGGGGAAAUGGAUGUAGACACUGAGGCCCAUCUGCUGGAAAUGUUCUGCCCCAGUCUCCUGAAUUAAGACCUAGGGACUUUUUUUGUUAACUGCAUCCAGGGCCAGAGCCACAUGCAGCUCCACUGAGCCGUAGCUAAGCCCUCUGCUUGCAGCCAUUGCUUACAACCAACCCCUGAGACUGAGGUUCAGCUGCAAAACACAGGUGCUAAAGCGCCUCACCCCUUUCCUACCUUUUAACUGACAAAGCAGCUGUGAGCCAUAGACGCAGCUACUUCCAAAGCUAGCAGCAAGACUGGGUUUCUGGUAGACUCUCCCACUAAGUGACUGUACACCCUAAUCUCCCCAGGAUGUCUCUUGUUAAGUGGGUCAGACCAUAAGGACUGCUUUUCGUCAAGAAAACACGGUUUAAGGUACACCAGAGACUCAUACCGGGAAUUCCUGAGUAUGGAACACGACACGGAAAAGUCCCACAGCCUUAGCACUGCAUUCCAGGGCAGCUUGAUUGUCUGCCUGGGUGGUAUAAGCUGUGAGCAAUUGUUUAACCUUGAUGCACCUCCAGUGUCUGCAUCUAUAAAAUAAGGGCGAUUGGUCUUUAAGGGUGCUGCCUAAGGAUAAGAUGAGUGCACCCAUGUGACACUCUAGCACCAUGCCCAUAGCACAGUUUACCCAUCCAGAGAAUUAAUUCAUCCUAGGAUUGAUUCAUAAGCCUUCAGAACUACGAAGCCACUCUACCUUAUUACCAGGACUCAACGGCCAAGCUCACCUCCAGCACCUUCUCCCACGAUUAGCAGCUGAGCAAGUGAGGAGGUAUGUAUACACCUGGGUCAGGACAGGGACUCUUCCGGGGCCUGUUGAGAAAGAGGACCCCUCCCUCCACUGGGUUUUCUGGGUUGAUAGAGCUGGUAUUGCCAGGAUAUUGCUGAAGACAAGGUUGUGGAGAGUGUCUGCCUAUGGGCGAAGCUGGUGUAGAAUCAAGAAAAAAAGACACCGCGUGAGAGGCUAGGUGUGGUGGUGCAAGCCCAUGACUCCAGAACUGGGGAGACUGAGGAAGGAGAGCCACAACUUCCAGUCACAAACAUCCAAAUAAAAAUCAGGAAGCGGGGUGGGAACCUGGGGAGCUGGUUCAGCCAGUGAAGUGCUAACCUAAGCAAGCAUGAGGACUUGACUUCAGAUCUCUAAAACCACUGUCAAAGCCAGGCGUGGCAGUGGGGGGCCUGCAAUCCCCAGCCCUGGGGAGGCAGAGCUAGACAGUCCUCCGGGGCUGCUGGCCAGCCAGCCUCGCUGAAUCAAUGAGCUCCAGGUUCAGUGAGACACUCCCUCUCAAAACACAGUGCAGAGAGUGCUAGAUGGAGGCAUCCGGUGUUGACCUUGGCAUCUGUGGGUGAGCCCCACCCUCCCCCAAUAUGGACUGAGAGACUAAGGAAUUCCAGUGAUAGGUUUUGAGGCACAGGAUGUGGUGGUGCCUAAAACCUCCAGACUUUAUCUCCUCCACGAACUCAUAAAUUUCACUUGAGCCAUUUUAAGGAAGGAUUCUGGCACUGAACGUGUCCUGACUGGCUCAGAAGGAAACUUAAACGUAAGUAUGACAACCUUCUUUGGUUGGCAGUCAGUCUUCUGUUCAGUAUCUAACGAGGUAUUCAACCAAAGCUUGGAUUCUUCCAGCAACAGAGAGCUCAUUACCAGUUGAAGAAACAUAUUAUGGGGUGUUUUUUUUCUUUCACCACAACAAAUUCAUGUACUGAGUGCAUAUUUCUUUUCUGAAGUUACCACUUAUUUCAUCUAUACCAGAGGCCAUGUUCUAUGUUACAGUAACAAGUACACAAUUAUCUCAUUUAAUUUUCAGAAUCACCUUAAGAUAUAAAUACUGAUUUGGAAGCCACUUCAGGAUUUUCUUUUUACUCAGCUUUGUACCAGCUUUACUACCAGAAAGACCUUUCUACAUCACGGCCCUCAACAGUUCCGGGCAAUGCUGGCUCACCAGUGCAGAAACUGCAGCGGACAGAGUCUUUCUCUUCCUUAGCAGUUCCAGAAGAAUCCCUGUUCUCACCCUCGCUGGGUGAACCACUGUGGAUGAGUGAUGGAGCCCUCUCAUUUGCCUGUGGGUCAUAGAUCUACUCCAUGGUCAGCUUUUGAGAGACUAUUAGGGGCUGAAGCAAGGGCCAUGGAGGUGAUAAAGAGGUGAGGAUGGACUCAUGUAGAUAUAAGUGCAUACCAAUGGCUGGAUGACGGGUGGGGCCAGAGGGGAAGGGAUGCAUUCAAAUGAACCCCAGAAAUGAGCAGCAUGGAGUAAGAAUGGCAAGAAACAACGUGAACAGGUAAAGAUGAAUGUUCUGGUUACCCCCAAGAGGUCUGGUUAAUUGAAAGCUAGGGCCAAUAAUUCCAAGGGUACUUGAGAGCUCUAUGUAUGUCACAUCUGCUAGCCCUUUAUAUGUCAGUAAGAACUGGACUGAAUCUCAUUCAGUAUGAGGAAACCAUCAAGAACAGAAUCGGACGAACAACGGAAGAAAUAUUUUCAGAGGGCAGUUUUUGCGGAGACCUUCAGUCACAGGACAUGUCGGGGGGAACAUGUUUAUGUCCAGCCCCACAGGAAGCAGAGGAGAGAGAAGAAAACUCAGCCUGACGAUGCAGCCCAGUUCUCCCAAGCCGCAGGUCCAGGAAGCACAGGGACGUGUGCACUGGCGGAAGAUGUUUCUGGUGUGGGGAGGAGGUACUCAGGGAAGGAACGGAGCUCUUGUGUACCUGUGGUGUGCCAGACCCUUCCUGUGCCUCCCUUGGGAAUCUUACAGAACCACUGCCAUCAUUGCACCACUGUUUCUUUCCAGAUGAAGAAAUUGUGGGGGACUUGAGAAGUUAAGCCGUUUUUCUAAGAUCAAGCAGUGUAAGAAUUAUUUCUCUGAAUAAUCAGUGGCUAUGGUAGUUCCUCCUUGUCUAUAUUGGGGGAGUACAUUCCAAACCCCAGUGGAUGCCUGGAAUCAAAGCUAAUACCAUCCCCACAGGAACGGUUUGCUUUCCUACAUAUGUAAAUUUAUUAAUUGAGCACAGCAAGAGAUUAACAACAAUAACUGUAAAGUAUGCUGUAAUGAAAAGUUAUUUAAGACUUACUGAUUGCUUAUUUAUGGAGUUUUCCAUUUAGUAGAUCUGGAAGGCAGCUGACUGGAAGUAACUGAAACCAUGAAGGAAGAACUGCUAUAUGUGUUUUUUCCUAAUUCACAAUAUACAAGUGUGCGUCCCAUCUUUGAAAUAAUUUGGGAAGUUGAAGUAUUAAUAUCGCUCCUAUGAUAUAGAUAAGGAAAUUGUGCCCUAACAACGUCAGGGCUCAAGGUCACACUAGCUGCGUUCUCCAAUUAUGACAGAGCUCUGGGAGCUGUUUAAUAACUGCUUUACUCUGAAUCACUGAACACAUUCGCCUGUAAGAAAAACACCCUGCUCUAGUGAAAUGUGUGCCAUCAGACCUACAGAAGGGAAGAGACAGUUCCGGUCUGAGAAGUCGGCGUCUCCUCCAUGUGCAUUCCAUGGGAGAUGCAUUUGAAGGGCGGGGUGUUCCCUGAAGACCGGCUUCACCCUGUCACUCGGAAUGCGUGAGCUCUGUCAGUGCACUGGACUGGGAACAAUUCUCCUUCCUAGCGGGGAGAUGGAAGUGUUGGCACUCUCCUUGACACUUGUAAAUCUGGGGUCACUAAGUAAAAGCCCUAUAAACUUGCAAGGGCUUGAUAUUAUUACAUAAUGAUGGUGAUAGCAAUAAUACUUUGUGCUUAUGCAGCAUUCAAAGAUUGGGAAGUUUUUGCAUACUGGUUAUUUUAAGAAUUAUUGCCUCCCCAACUUUAUUGAAAUAUAAUUGGGAAAUAAAACUUGUCAAGGUGUGUAUGGUGAAUGUAUGUAUGAAAUGACUCCCACAAAUAAACACAUCCAUCAUCCUGCAUA